rnacentral:lncRNA from 1 species
AUCGGGUUGAAGUGAUCGCACUUUCGGUUUUUAGCGGAUGCUCGAGGAGGCCGCUCUCCGAGAUGGAGAGAAGGGCGUAGAUAAGGAUAGACGUAUCCAGGUGUCUACCGUCCGCUCUCCCUAGGAGACGUCCUAGGAAGACCGGGGGAGGAUCAGGGACGCCUGGUGGACCCCCAAGGUCACGAGGAGAUCAAUCUCCUAGACCAUCUGGGCUCGCGGACAGCUCCGCGGCCAUCUGAUUCUUUCGGUUUUUGUCUAUCUACCCCAACUCGGUGCUGGUUUGGGUUUCUUUUUGGCUUAGCAUUUGUGUUUGCGUCUAUUGUCCUUAUCGUUGAACCUGUCUCUCAUUUUCGGUUUCUGUGUGUGUCUUGUGUGUCUCUUUGUGUUCAGACUUGGACUAAUGACUGACGACUGUUUUUGAGUUAUGCCUUCUGAAAUAAGCCUAAGAAUCCUGUCAGAUCCCUAUGCUGACCACUUCCUUUCAGAUCCUCAGCUGCCCUGCCUCCCACUCCAACUCCAGGGAGCAGCCAGCGGGUCACAGUGGUCCUGCCCAUGGACCUAGAGCCUAGGGGGAAAUGAGCUUGAAAAAUCUGGAGCAAAUGAGGAGUGGUCCCUGAAACGUCAGUGGCCCUGGAUGUCGUGACUGCUAAAGAGAAAAAGAGGAAGAGGCUGUGAGAAUAGCCAGCCAAGAGCUCCGCAGGUUUCCCUGAUUGCUUCUCAUUCCCCUGUCCCUUGCAUCCCGUCUCUUGUUAACAGAAAAACUGCUUUCACUUUAAGAUAAGUGCCGGUUGCAGCCAGCUGUGAGAGCUGCACUCCCUUCUCUGCUCUAAAGUUCCCUCUUCUCAGAAGGUGGCACCACCCUGAGUUGCUGGCAGUGAGUCUGUUCCAAGUUCCAGUUAGGGAGGCAUCUGCCCACUUGGGGCUUCUGUCCAAGGUAAGGAGCACCUGUGAGUCUAACUGCCAGGCUCUGAUGGGGGUCUCAUCUCUGCGGGACUAGAAAGUCCCAACAAUCUGACCAAGGUAACAGGAAGUUACAAAAGCAAAGAGAAGGACAGGGUAAGUUGGUAAGAAAGUUAGUGUAAGUAGAUAAGAAAGUGCAGAGGAGGAGAAACAAAAGAAGGAUAGAGGUCUGCAAAGAAGUGAGCUAAAAGCAAAUCUUCAGCAGACUCAGGAGAAAUAGAUGACAGUGGCAAAUAGAGAGGUUAACAGUAAAGAGAAGUGAAAAUAGAGAUGAAGGAGAUUAGAGAGGUCUGAAAUGAGAGAGAUACUCUGAAUGAGAAAUAUUUAGAGGAAGAACCAGUAAAUAAGAGUCAGACAAGAAAAAGAGUUAAGAAAACAUGAGGCUGACAAAGACAGAGACCAGAGUCAGAAUCAGAGCUGUGCUGUGAGACAAAAAGAGAUAAGAAAAAUGAAAUGUUGGCCACAAAAGUCAGGAAAAUUAGAAAACUUAGAUAGUACCUGGCAACAAAAAAAAAAGCUUUUGGCUAAAGAUCAAUGUGUUUAAGAGAUAACAAAAGGGGUGCUAAUACAGAAGCUGAGUCCUUAGAAGAGUCCGGUGGCCUACCUGUUGAAGCAGCUAGAAAAAGAGACUGUGUUUCAUACUCCUCCACCGACCAGUGCAAAACAAGCUAAAAAGUUCCUGGGCACUGCGGGCUUUUGCAGAUUGUGGAUUCCAGGUUUGCUUAAUUAAAGAGAUAAACAGCCCUUCGUAUAGAGAAAUAAAAAACAACCUUGGAUGGCCUUGGAUGCCAUUAAGACUGCCCUGAUGUUAUCCCCAGCUAUGGGACUCCUAGAUGUGACUGAGAACAAAGGUAUUGUCAAAGAAGUUCUUACUCAGAGAUUGGGACCCUAGAAAAGACCUGUGGCAUACUUGUAAAAAAUUAGACCUGGUGGCUGUAGGAUGGCCUGCUUGUCUGCACAUAGUGGCUUCUGGUCAAGGACGCAGAUAAAUUGACUCUGAGACAAAACUUGGCACAUGUCCUAAAAAGUGUGGUUCAGCCCCCAUGACCGAUGGCUGACUAAUGCUCUUGAAAACAUUAUCCAACCGUCCCCCUGACCGAUGGACACAUUAUCAGAGCUUUUUGUUGACUGAACGAGUGACCUUCGCUCCCCCUGCUGUCCUCAAUCUCACUACUGCCUGAGACUUCGCCUACUCAUCAUUGUGCUGACAUUCUGGCAGAAGGAACUCAUACUCGAAAUGAUCUGAAAGAUCAGAUCAGCCUUGGCCUGAGAGUUUGAGCUGGUACACGGAUGGCAGUAGCCUGGAGGUUGAGGGUAAGCGGAAGGCGGGGACAGCAGUGCAGUGGUGGACAGAAAGCAAGUGAUCUAGGCCAGCAGCCUCCCUAAAGGGACUUCAGCCCUGAAAGCUAAACUUGUGGCUUUAAUACAAGCUCUAUAUAUACAGACAAAGAGAGCUGUUGACAUCUGCAGAAAAAGACCUAAGAUGCUGUGGCUAAAAAAAAUCAGAUGGCAAAUCUAACCGCCCAGGCAUCCUAAAGAGCAAUGAUCCUGACAGUCUAAAGACUAUCAAGUUAUAGACAAAUUAAGACUGGUAAAAGAAACCCUGUAUGACAUAGUAGAAACUGAAGAAAGAAAACUAGUCCUCUCAUGAGAAGACAGACCUGACAUCUACUGAAAAAUAGACUUUACUGGAAAAAAUAUGUGUAUGAAUACCUUCUGGUUUUUGUGAACGUUCUCAAGAUGGAUAAAAGCUUUUCCUUGUAAAACUGAGACUGCUCAGAUAGUCAUCAAGAAGAUUAUUAAAAAUUUUCCAAGGUUCGGAGUGCCAAAAGCAAUAGUGUCAGAUAAUGGUCCUGUCUUUGUUGCCCAGGUAAGUCAGGGUGUGGCCAAGUAUUUAGAGGUCAAAUAAAAAUUGUACAGACCUCAGAACUCAGGACAGAUAGAAAUAAUAAAUAAAACUCUAAACAGACCUUGACAAAAUUAAUCCUAGAGACUGGCACAGACUUACUUGGUGCCCCUUCCCCUUGCCCUAUUUAAAACUGAGAAUACUCCCUCUUGAUAGGGUUUUACUCUUUUUAAGAUCCUUUAUGGGGCUCCUAUGCCCAUCACUGUCUUAAAUAAUGUGUUUAAACCUAUGUUGUUAUAAUAAUGAUCUGUAUACUAAGUUAUAAGGCUUACAGGUGGUGCAGAAAGAAGUCUGGUCACAACUGGCUACAGUGAACGAGCUGGGUACCCCAAGGACAUCUUACCAGUUCCAGCCAGAGAUCUGAUCUGCGUACACCUGCGUCAUGCUGAGACCCUCAAGCCUCACUAGAAGGGUCCCUGCCUAGUUCUGUUUACUAAUCCGCCUUAUUCUGGUUUUGUUCCCAUGUUAAAAAUAGAGUAAAUGCAGUAUUCUCCACAUAGAGAUAUAGACUUCUGAAAUUCUAAGAUUAGAAUUACUUACAAGAAGAAGUGGGGAAUGAAGAAUAGAAAAUUACUGGCCUCUUGUGAGAACAUGAACUUUUUACCUCGGAGCCCACCCCCUCCCAUCUGGAAAACAUACUUGAGAAAAACAUUUUCUGGAACAACCACAGAAUGUUUCAACAGGCCAGAUGUAUUGCCAAACACAGGAUAUGACUCUUUGGUUGAGUAAACUUGUGGUUGUUAAACUUCCCCUAUUCCCUCCCCAUUCCCCCUCCCAGUUUGUGGUUUUUGCCUUUAAAAGCUUGUGAAAAAUUUGAGUCUUCGUCGAGACUCCUCUACCCUAUGCAGAGGUGUACGAGUCUCGGCCCCAGCGCGCUGGCUUCCCCGCCCCCCCCCCGCUUUAUUAAAUAGCUUUGUGUGCACGCCA